CAUGGUGACCGUAGAAACUAACAU
rnacentral:miRNA from 1 species